AGCCGUGUUUCGAGCACAUAGCGAACUAUUCUUUCGCCUUUUACUAAAGAAUACCGUGUGCUCAUCACUUAUUGCGGCAUACGCCCAUUUUUGGAGGGGGGUUUUCUCUAGAAACUCU